GUGGCAUUUCAGGAGCUUGGAGAAAGAGGAUGGAGAAGAGCCCUACAGCUGCAUAACCUCCUGAGAGAGGACUUCUAUAGUUUGCAGUGGAGAACUGGAGAUGGUGCUCAUUCACAGAUAUCUAACACUCGAUACUGUCCCCAGCUUGUCAUUUGCCUCCUGGUUAUGUUUGCUGAUCCAGUGCAGAACCCCAUCGGGUGCAGAGUAGGACGACAUGAGAGAGCCAAGGCUGGAGAGUUAGGCACAGGCUAGGUCACCUAAGGACUAGCUGCUCAUGCAAAGGAGCAAGGAGGUGCUACUGACGAGGGUAGGACUUUAAAAUAUCUAGGGAGUGAAGUCUUCAGGUUUUGCUGACUGGAUAAGGGACGUGGGAUCCAAGAAGGUGAUGCAGGCAACACCAACUCUGGCUUUGGCCUUGAGGUGGACAGUGGUGUCUCGAAUUAUUAAUAAAUGGUCAUCAGGUAGAAGCAUGUUUUGGGAGGAAAAUGAUAAGCAUUAGAGUUACAGUCUUUGCAGUUCCUGCAACAACCAGUAUUUAGCUGUCAGAGCCUCACAGCUUAGUACAGUUCCUGGCACAAUGGAUUGCUUAGUAAAAUUGAAAUGAAUUCAUUAUCGGCUUCCAUCAAGAAAGAUGAUGAUCUUCUCUUUGGUGACUGUUUGAUCUCUGUGCCUAGUACUGGCAGCCUCACAAUUAAUUUAAUGUAAUUAAUUUAUUUUUUUGAGAUGCAGUCUCACUCUGUCACCCAGGCCAGAGUGCAGUGGCGCGAUCUCGGCUCACCGCAACCUCCGCCUCCUGGAUUCAAGUGAUUCUCCUGCCUCAGCCUCCCUGAGUAGCUGGGAAAACAGGCACCCACCACCAUGCCCAGCUAAUUUUUGUAUUUUUAGUAGAGACGGGGUUUUGCCACAUUGGCCAGGCUGGUCUUGAACCCCUGACCUCAGGUGAUCCAUCCGCCUUGGCCUCCCAAAGUGCCAGGAUUACAGACAUGAGCCACCACGCCCGGCCCACAAUUAAUUUUAAUAAUCUCACUUCUGCUUCCUAGGAACCCGAAGACAGUAAAGGUCAUAAAUGAUGUACCUUUUACAUCUGGCAGAGGGCCAGGACAGUUCUGGGGUUCAUAUUUCUCUCCUUCUCUACUCUGAGCAUCUUCUUUGUGGCUGGGGUAAAGAAGCUCACUGUGGACUCUCAUUCAGUCUCGGGUGCAUUGGGCAACCUCUGGGAAAAGCACUGCUCUGAUGAACAGGGGAAUGAACGACUGCUGCCACACA